rnacentral:misc_RNA from 1 species
GAUGAAGAACGCAGCGAAAUGCGAUAAGUAAUGUGAAUUGCAGAAUUCAGUGAAUCAUCGAAUCUUUGAACGCACAUUGUGCCCCUUGGUAUUCCGAGGGGCAUGCCUGUUCGAGCGUCAUUAUAACCCCUCAAGCUCAGCUUGGUGUUGGGGCCUGCUGCACUGGCAGCCCUUAAAAUCAGUGGCGGCGCCAUCUGGCUCUAAGCGUAGUAAUUCUUCUCGCUAUGGAGUCCUGGUGGAUGCUUGCCAUCAACCCCCAAUUUUUCUAUGGUUGACCUCGGAUCAGGUAGGGAUACCCGCUGAACUUAAGCAUAACAAUAAGCGGAGGA